rnacentral:rRNA from 1 species
AACGAACGCUGGCGGCAGGCCUAACACAUGCAAGUCGAGCGCCCCGCAAGGGGAGCGGCGGACGGGUGAGUAACGCGUGGGAAUAUGCCCUUUGCUACGGAAUAGUCUCGGGAAACUGGGGGUAAUACCGUAUACGCCCUUUGGGGGAAAGAUUUAUCGGCGAAGGAUUAGCCCGCGUUGGAUUAGGUAGUUGGUGGGGUAAUGGCCUACCAAGCCGACGAUCCAUAGCUGGUUUGAGAGGAUGAUCAGCCACACUGGGACUGAGACACGGCCCAGACUCCUACGGGAGGCAGCAGUGGGGAAUCUUAGACAAUGGGGGCAACCCUGAUCUAGCCAUGCCGCGUGAGUGAUGAAGGCCUUAGGGUUGUAAAGCUCUUUCAGCUGGGAAGAUAAUGACGGUACCAGCAGAAGAAGCCCUGGCUAACUCCGUG